UGGGGGAUAUUGCACAAUGGGCGACAGCCUGAUGCAGCGACGCCGCGUGGGGGAUGAAGGCCUUCGGGUUGUAAACUUCUUUUGCUCUGAACAAGGCGCACCAUGGGGUGUGUUGAGUGUAGGGGUUGAUUAGCGCCGGCUAACUACGUGCCAGCAGCCGCGGUAAUACGUAGGGCGCGAGCGUUGUCCGUAAUUAUUGGGCGUAAAGGGCGUGUAGGUGGCUGGUUGCGUCUGUCGUGAAAGCUCAUGGCUUAACUGUGGGGUUGCGGUGGGGACGGGCUGGGUGGAGGGCAGUAGGGGAGGCUGGAAGUCCUGGUGUAGCGGUGGAAUGCGCAGAUAUCAGGAGGAAUACCGGUGGCGAAGGCGGGUCUCUGGGCUGUUACUGACACUGAGGAGCGAAAGCAUGGGGGGCGAACAGG
rnacentral:rRNA from 1 species